rnacentral:tRNA from 4 species
AGGGGGAUCGUCUAACGGCAGGACUUCGGUCUUUGGAACCGACAAUCAAGGUUCGAAUCCUUGUCCCCCUG